rnacentral:lncRNA from 1 species
AUGGAAAUUAUAAUGAAGAGAAAGACAGGUGAUGCUUUUGGGAUGAGGUCAGUCUUUCUCCAACCUCCACUUGCUAUUCAUAACCCCCUUGUCACUUCAAUCAAAUUUCCUGGCCAUUCCACAUCCUGGUGUCUUUAUUGUGAAUGGAGGAGCAUGGCCGUGUUCCUUAAACUGUGGGCUGCUUUGCCAACAUUAAGAGAUGUAGCAUGCAGAAAGAAUGCUAGACCUCACCUGAGUCUGUCUCCUUCCCUCUGCCCUAGUGGAAGCCUAUUAUGGGUGGGUCAGAACAUGGACAGCUUGACCCACAACACCACAAUAUGCACUGCUUGGUUCUCUCCUUUCCAAAUAAAUUGUUUCAUUAAUUUUCUGGCAAAGAAAGAGAAGAAGAGCUGGCCGCUUGCCAGGGUUAAUGGGAUCCUUUUGUCAGACUUUGUGGCCUGCAAUGAACCAAGCUUUUACCCAGUGUUAAUCUGCAGGGCACCAUAA